rnacentral:misc_RNA from 1 species
GAUGAAGAACGCAGCGAAAUGCGAUACGUAAUGUGAAUUGCAAAUUCAGUGAAUCAUCGAGUCUUUGAACUCACAUUGCGCCCCCUGGUAUUCCGGGGGGCAUGCCUGUCCGAGCGUCAUUGCUGCCCUCAAGCACGGCUUGUGUGUUGGGCCCCGUCCUCCGAUCCCGGGGGACGGGCCCGAAAGGCAGCGGCGGCACCGCGUCCGGUCCUCGAGCGUAUGGGGCUUUGUCACCCGCUCUGUAGGCCCGGCCGGCGCUUGCCGAUCAACCCAAAUUUUUAUCCAGGUUGACCUCGGAUCAGGUAGGGAUACCCGCUGAACUUAAGCAUAUCAAUAAGCGGAGGA